rnacentral:ribozyme from 1 species
UCUUUAAAGCAGCCUCGUACUGGUUUGUGGACUGCUCUAUAUUACCAAUCAUAUGAUAAGAGUCGCCAACUGAUUCGUGUUCGCCCAAAAUAGACUCUCUAAUUUUCAGUGCCUCUUGGUGCAUCAAUAGACUCUGGUUAAAUUGACGUGUUUCCUCCAAUAUCGUAGCCAACUCGGUGAUAAUAUCAGCUGCAACGGUAUCAUCUGAAUCAAUUCGUCUUCUCCUAAUGUUCA